CUCUGCCUGACCAGCAGCUUCAGACUAUGAAUUUGUGUGCAGGACAUGAGGCAGGCUGGAAGGGGAGAUUGUCAGAAUUCCGGAAAGCUGGCCUGAGCGCGGGUCGGACACUGUAGCCCCAAUUCGGAUAGUGUCUCCAGCCAAGGAGCAUCCAGGCAUCCACCAUAUGAAGGAAGAAACCAGCCGUCUCUGAGGGCGCAAUACCGGGCUUCUCUUCUCCGGUCCAACUCCUACCCCACAGUGGGGAGAGAAUUCCGCCGGGAGAAGAUGGCAGCCUCCUUCCAGGUUUCGAGAAGGGCAGAGGAGGAGUGGGGACUAGAGACAGGAC